AUAAUGGGUCAGCGACUUAUAUUCUGUAGCAAGGUUAACCGAAUAGGGGAGCCGAAGGGAAACCGAGUCUUAACUGGGCGUUAAGUUGCAGGGUAUAGACCCGAAACCCGGUGAUCUAGCCAUGGGCAGGUUGAAGGUUGGGUAACACUAACUGGAGGACCGAACCGACUAAUGUUGAAAAAUUAGCGGAUGACUUGUGGCUGGGGGUGAAAGGCCAAUCAAACCGGGAGAUAGCUGGUUCUCCCCGAAAGCUAUUUAGGUAGCGCCUCGUGAAUUCAUCUCCGGGGGUAGAGCACUGUUUCGGCAAGGGGGUCAUCCCGACUUACCAACCCGAUGCAAACUGCGAAUACCGGAGAAUGUUAUCACGGGAGACACACGGCGGGUGCUAACGUCCGUCGUGAAGAGGGAAACAACCCAGACCGCCAGCUAAGGUCCCAAAGUCAUGGUUAAGUGGGAAACGAUGUGGGAAGGCCCAGACAGCCAGGAUGUUGGCUUAGAAGCAGCCAUCAUUUAAAGAAAGCGUAAUAGCUCACUGGUCGAGUCGGCCUGCGCGGAAGAUGUAACGGGGCUAAACCAUGCACCGAAGCUGCGGCAGCGACGCUUAUGCGUUGUUGGGUAGGGGAGCGUUCUGUAAGCCUGCGAAGGUGUGCUGUGAGGCAUGCUGGAGGUAUCAGAAGUGCGAAUGCUGACAUAAGUAACGA
rnacentral:rRNA from 1 species